CAGUAGCCGCGGUAAGACGUACCGUGCGAACGUUAUUCGGAAUCACUGGGCUUAAAGCGCGUGUAGGCGGAUGGGAGCGUCGGCCUCUGAAAUCCCCCGGCUCAACCGGGGAAGUGGAGCCGAAACGACCCGUCUGGAGGGACGUAGGGGGACCUGGAACUUCCGGUGGAGCGGUGAAAUGCGUUGAGAUCGGAAGGAACGCCCGUGGCGAAAGCGAGGUCCUGGACGUCUGCUGACGCUGAGACGCGAAAGCCAGGGGAGCGAACGGGAUUAGAUACCCCCGUAGUCCCUGUCUCUUAUA
rnacentral:rRNA from 1 species